ACACAGGCACGCAGCCGCCGAAAUGCAAGCCAUGGCACAUUCAAAGUGACAGAAAGCCCCUUUAUUGCACAGUCAACCUACAGAAUGGAAGGGUAAUUUAGUCAUUUAAUAUUCUGCAAAAUUGAAAAUGAAAAACGGGGAUCCAAUGGGCGCUGCUCUUUAAAAGACCGGGCGCUUACAGGUAGUUAUUCAAAAUCUACAUAUUUAGAUACCGACGCUCUUGCUUGGAAGAUAGGGUCCUCUUGCAUUGGAAGUUAGGGUUUGGAGCUGCAACAAUGGCGAAAGGGAGGUAUUCUAGGGGACAUGGCAAGAGGUGGUCGACAUUAGCGCUCGUUCUUUCGCUGCUUCUUAUGCUAACAGUUGUUCUGCUCAUGCUUCUCGCUCUCGGAAUCGUCUCAUUGCCGAUCGGCACGGUAGAUUCCGAUGCGGCCAACGAUCUGAGCUCUUUCAGGCGCAAGACGUUCGAUGGAGGUGAAGGAUUGGGGAAGAGAGGAGAGCAGUGGACGGAAAUUGUCUCCUGGGAGCCCAGAGCUUUCAUUUAUCACAAUUUCUUGUCCAAGGAAGAAUGUGAGUACAUGAUAAGUCUUGCCAAACCUUAUAUGAAAAAGUCAACUGUUGUUGAUAGUGAAACUGGUCGGAGCAAAGAUAGCAGGGUGCGUACCAGUUCUGGAAUGUUUUUGAGGAGAGGGCGAGAUAAAAUCAUCAGGGACAUAGAGAAAAGAAUAGCUGACUUCACUUUCAUUCCCGUAGAGCAUGGAGAAGGACUUCAGGUUCUCCACUAUGAAGUUGGGCAGAAGUAUGACGCUCACUAUGAUUACUUCCUUGAUGAGUUUAACACUAAAAAUGGUGGCCAACGGAUAGCUACUCUUCUUAUGUAUCUGUCAGAUGUUGAAGAAGGUGGGGAGACUGUGUUUCCAGCUACCAAGGCAAAUUUCAGUUCUGUGCCAUGGUGGAAUGAGUUAUCUGAAUGUGGUAAAAAGGGCCUUUCUGUGAAACCAAAGAUGGGUGAUGCAUUGCUUUUCUGGAGCAUGAGGCCUGAUGCCACACUAGAUCCUUCAAGUUUGCAUGGCGGUUGCCCUGUGAUUAAAGGUAACAAGUGGUCAUCAACAAAGUGGAUGCAUGUAGAGGAGUACAAAGCCUAGGGUAUUCUUUUAAAGUGCUUCUCUAAACCCAUAUUUUAUUAGUAAUAUAUGAAAUCAUUUGUUGUUUGUUUCAGAUUCCAUCAAUUAAUGCAGUUAAAGUUUAGGGUAUUUUUUUGAGUGGCCCAAGUAACGAUGGUCUUGGUAACCUUGAGAAGGGUAUUCUGGGUUGCCGACUUCGGAAAGUUCAAAAGUCACAUCUAAUGGAUGUCUCUGGAUGUUUAAAAGAUGACACAGAGAUGAUGUUCCUGGAAUUAUAACCUUGUCAUGAUUUUUGCUUCUUGUUGAGCUGUCACUGGCUGCAUAUCCUAAAGGGACCCAAAAAUUGUUUCUUAGAGGACUGUGGGAAUAUGUUCUGAAACAUUGGAAAAUACCUAAUGAGAGCAUGCCCAAAAUUGAAGUGCAAAAGUUCAAAUCGUGCCUUAGUAUACGUAGCUGUGUUGAGUCUGAAAAUAACAAUCCACAUGGUCUGUCUCAUUAACCCUCAUUUCAAACAAAGCUACUGAAUUUGCAGUGUGGAACUUGUAUCUGGAGAAUGUAUUCUUGAAUUUUACACAGGAAGGGCAUUACUUUGUUAGAGUUAUCUUGGUAUCUUCCACAGUUUCUUAGGUAGAGAUGUCUCCUCUCCAAUGUGUUAUGGUGUAUGUGGAAGUAACCAUUAUGUAUACUGUGGUAGCUUUUAAGUAUAAUAUAUAUUUAUGCCUUUAACAUUUA